rnacentral:lncRNA from 1 species
GUGGGGCUGUUCUGGGAUAGUAGGUUGUAUUUGUCUCUUCAUGAUCAAGAUUUCAUCAUAACGUUUCAAUAAUAGAGGUUACUUUCAUCAUAACAUAUAUCAAUAACAUAUUAAAUAAAUGAUGAAAACAUAAUGAUGUCUGCUGAAAAGGAAAAGUAAAGCUCUCUUUAUCUUUUUUCUUUUGACAGAUGGCCAGCCAAUCUCGGAAUAAUAAUAAAGUUAAUAAUAGAAUUAUUAUAAGAAAACUUAUCUUCUUCCUGGUUUUCCACUGGUGGUCGUGUUAUUCGUAGAAGGUGGGAUCCCCGCAACUGGUAUCGAUGGUGGUCCGUAUAAACCCAUCUCAAUAUACUGAAAAAUCUUCCUUCCAACAAGAGGAGCAAAGAACACAUAGAAAGCAAAGGCCAGCGCCAGAAACACGGCAACAGCCACCACCUAGAGAGGAUGGUAAAGAAGCUGCCAUCCAUGCUUUUUCAUUUUUCAACUGGAAUGCUGAAAACCCAAGACUGAUCCUUGAGAGUCACCGCCGCUCUGAGAAAAGUCCCGCUCGAAGGUGACCAGUUUAGAGCC